rnacentral:lncRNA from 1 species
AUGGGCAAGAUCGGGGAGCCCCACCAGGUGACUGUGAGAGAGAAGGAGGAAGGAAGGAGGAAGGAAGGAGGAGGAAGGAAGGAAGGAAGGAAGGACGGAAGGAAGGAAGGAAGGAAGGAAGGAAGGAAGAAGAAGGAAGGAAGGGAGGAGGAAGGAAGGACGGAAGGAAGGAAGGAAGGAAGGAAGGAAGGAAGAAGAAGGAAGGAAGGAAGGAAGGAGGAAGGAAGGAAGGAAGGAAGGAGGAAGGAAGGAGGAAGGAAGGAAGGAAGGAAGAAGAAGGAAGGAGGAAGGAAGGAAGGAGAAGGAAGGAAGGACGGAAGAAGGAAGGAAGGAGGAGGAAGGAAGGAGGAAGGAAGGAAGGAAGGAAGGAAGGAAGAAGGAGGAAGGAGGAAGGAAGGAAGGAAGGAAGGAAGGAAGGAAGGAAGGAAGAAGGGAGGAAGGAGGAAGAAGGAAGAGGAAGGAAGGAAGGAAGAAGAAGGAAGGAAGGAAGGAAGGAAGAAGGAAGGAAGGAAGAAGAAGAAGGAAGAAGAAGGAAGGAAGAAGAAGGAAGGAAGGAAGGAAGGAAGGAAGAAGGAAGGAAGAAGGAAGAAGGAAGGAGGAAGGAGGAAGGAAGGAAGGAAGAAGGAAGGAAGGAAGAAGGGAGGAAGGAAGAAGGAAGGGAGAAAGGAAGGAAGGAAGGAAGGAAGGAAGGAAGGAAGGAAGGAAGAAGGAAGGGAGAAAGGAAGGAAGGAAGAAGGAAGGAAGGAAGGAAGGAAGGAAGGAAGGAAGAAGGAAGGAGGAAGGAAGGAAGAAGGAAGGAAGGAAGGAAGGAAGGAAGAAGGAAGGAGAAGGAAGGAAGAAGGAAGGAAGGAAGGAAGGAAGGAGAAGGAAGAAGGAAGGAGGAAGGAAGGAGGAAGGAAGGAAGGAAGAAGGAAGAAGGGAGGAAGGAAGAAGGAAGGAGAAGGAAGGAAGGAGGAGGAAGGAAGAAGGAAGGAAGGAAGGAAGAAGGAAGGAAGAAGAAGAAGGAAGGAAGGAGGAAGGAAGGAAGGAAUGAAGGAAGGAAUGAAGGAAGGAAGGAACGGAAGGAAGGACGGAAGGAAGGAGGAAGGAAGGAAGGAAGGACGGAAGGAAGGAAUGAAGGAAGGAAGGAAGGAAGCGAAGGAAGGAAGGAAGAAGGAAGGGAGAAAGGAAGGAAGGAUAGGAAGGAAGGAAGAAGGAAGGAAGGAAGGAAGGAAGGAAGGAAGGAAGGAAGGAAGAAGGAAGGAAGGAAGGAGGAGGAAGGAAGGAAGGAAGGAAGGCGGAAGGAAGGAAGGAAGGAAGGAAGGAAGGAAGGAAGGAAGAAGGAAGGAAGGAGGAAGGAAGGAAGGAAGGAAGGAAGGAAUGAAGGAAGGAAGGAAGGAAGGAAAUGAGGCAGGAGAAAUACCGAGGGCCCACCCCGAAUCUCCCCGACUUAGCUAG